rnacentral:rRNA from 1 species
UACGUAGGGGGCUAGCGUUGUCCGGAAUCAUUGGGCGUAAAGCGCGUGUAGGCGGCCCGGUAAGUCCGCUGUGAAAGUCGGGGGCUCAACCCUCGAAUGCCGGUGGAUACUGUCGGGCUCGAGUGCGGAAGAGGCGAGUGGAAUUCCUGGUGUAGCGGUGAAAUGCGCAGAUAUCAGGAGGAACACCGAUUGCGAAGGCAGCUCGCUGGGACGUUACUGACGCUGAGGCGCGAAAGCUAGGGGAGCAAACGGG